GAUGAACGCUGGCGGCGUGCCUAAUACAUGCAAGUCGAGCGAACGGACGAGAAGCUUGCUUUUCUGAUGUUAGCGGCGGACGGGUGAGUAACACGUGGAUAACCUACCUAUAAGACUGGGAUAACUUCGGGAAACCGGAGCUAAUACCGGAUAAUAUUUUGAACCGCAUGGUUCAAAAGUGAAAGACGGUCUUGCUGUCACUUAUAGAUGGAUCCGCGCUGCAUUAGCUAGUUGGUAAGGUAACGGCUUACCAAGGCAACGAUGCAUAGCCGACCUGAGAGGGGGAUCGGCCACACGGGAACUGAGACACGGUCCAGACUCCUACGGGAGGCAGCAGUAGGGAAUCUUCCGCAAUGGGCGAAAGCCUGACGGAGCAACGCCGCGUGAGUGAUGAAGGUCUUCGGAUCGUAAAACUCUGUUAUUAGGGAAGAACAUAUGUGUAAGUAACUGUGCACAUCUUGACGGUACCUAAUCAGAAAGCCACGGCUAAAUACGUG
rnacentral:rRNA from 1 species